GACGAACGCUGGCGGCGUGCUUAACACAUGCAAGUCGAACGGAAAGGCCCUGCUUUUGUGGGGUGCUCGAGUGGCGAACGGGUGAGUAACACGUGAGUAACCUGCCCUUGACUUUGGAAUAACUUCAGGAAACUGGGGCUAAUACCGGAUAGGAGCUCCUGCUGCAUGGUGGGGGUUGGAAAGUUUCGGCGGUUGGGGAUGGACUCGCGGCUUAUCAGCUUGUUGGUGGGGUAGUGGCUUACCAAGGCUUUGACGGGUAGCCGGCCUGAGAGGGUGACCGGCCACAUUGGGACUGAGAUACGGCCCAGACUCCUACGGGAGGCAGCAGUGGGGAAUAUUGCACAAUGGGCGGAAGCCUGAUGCAGCAACGCCGCGUGCGGGAUGACGGCCUUCGGGUUGUAAACCGCUUUCGCCUGUGACGAAGCAUGAGUGACGGUAAUGGGUAAAGAAGCACCGGCUAACUACGUG
rnacentral:rRNA from 1 species